rfam:TPA: Bos taurus chromosome 10, whole genome shotgun sequence.
UCCCUGAUGGCUCAGAGGUUAAAGCGUCUGCCUGCAAUGCGGGAGACCUGGGUACGAUCCCUGGGUUGGGAA